ACUUUCACAUAGAGAAAAAUAAACUGAAGUCGUUUAACCGAUUCAGUGAAGACUAAUCAGAUAUCGUAGAAGAGAGUGUCAUCGUUUCUAUCUUGGUGAAUCAAUAACAAAGGAGCACAUUAAACAAAUCGCACACUUAUAAAUGACUGUAACAGAAUAUCGCAAAUUUAUAACUCUUAAACGAGUUCUGGAAUACACACAACCUCCUGCCAAGAAUGAAUAGGAAAGACGGCAUUGAUAAGCUGUUGACUGUCGCUUGCUUUUAGUUUUGCACAUUAAUAGGAGAAUAUCUCAGGAAAGUCGAAUUGUCGCUUGUACGAAUUCAACGCAUUGGGCAUCGGUUGUCCGUCGGAACAAUUCCGCUUUGAUUAAAUUUAUUUUUAUAUUACGAUUAAAACGGACCGUCGUAAUCUUAAGUUAUUUGCAUGAAAAAUAAAUACAAGAAUACAAA